GAUGAACGCUAGCGGCAGGCUUAACACAUGCAAGUCGAGGGGCAGCAUAAUGGAUAGCAAUAUCUAUGGUGGCGACCGGCGCACGGGUGCGUAACGCGUAUGCAACCUACCUUUAACAGGGGGAUAACACUGAGAAAUUGGUACUAAUACCCCAUAAUAUCAUAGAAGGCAUCUUUUAUGGUUGAAAAUUCCGAUGGUUAGAGAUGGGCAUGCGUUGUAUUAGCUAGUUGGUGGGGUAACGGCUCACCAAGGCGACGAUACAUAGGGGGACUGAGAGGUUAACCCCCCACAUUGGUACUGAGACACGGACCAGACUCCUACGGGAGGCAGCAGUGAGGAAUAUUGGUCAAUGGACGCAAGUCUGAACCAGCCAUGCCGCGUGCAGGAUGACGGCUCUAUGAGUUGUAAACUGCUUUUGUACGAGGGUAAACGCAGAUACGUGUAUCUGUCUGAAAGUAUCGUACGAAUAAGGAUCGGCUAACUCCGUG
rnacentral:rRNA from 1 species